rnacentral:sRNA from 1 species
GUUCGGUUCGCAAACGCAGUCGAACGAGAAAUAAGAAUUAAUGCUAUAGUAAUAACGGUAACGGUUGCGCCAACGGUAACGGCCACGGACUUGUUGUAUUGUUUUUGUGUAACUUUACGCUAUUUGCAUUUGACGAAAACUUUUUUCGCCGUCUCUCCGUCACUGCUGCUGGCCACCCACAAAUUAUUUAUGUAUUGUCCGCGUCGUGUGUGUUGUGUGAGUGAGAUAGCAACAACAGCAAAGGGAGGCACACAUCGAAUGCCUUGCUAAGUGAUCUGAUCGUUUGUGCGUGUAUGCCGUGCAGGUGUGAGUGUGUGCAUGUUUUUGUGUCCAUGCAGUGAAUGCAACAACAACAACAACAACGAAAGGAACAACAACAACAAUAAUCAACCAAAAAGUUUAGUGUUGUCAAAAGUUUUGAUGACUUUUCGCAUAAAAUAUGUUGGAAAACAUUUACAUCUCGGGCAGUAAAGUGUUAAAGAGCCUUAAAAGGACCCCCGUCGAAGUGCUCAAAGCGUAGUAGCUGCGACGGUAGCUACCGAAUCUGACAUGGCAAUUGCAAUAAAUUGCAAUUGAAAUUGAAAUUGACAUAUUGAUAGAUUGAAGGCGAUUGGAGAGGGGACGACGCGCAUACGCCAAGGCGCCAAGGUGUAAGCCUGGUGCAAGAUAUUCGCCAAUCUGUGGACGCGCCUACGUUCGCCACGGCCCAAUCGGGCCAGUGGUGGCGGCUAUCUGCUGACGGGGACAAGUGCGGCGCGCGAGGAUGAGCUGCUGGGCGUGACAGGUGGACGAAGGAAGCGGCUUGACAAAGUGCCCGAUGAUUGGAGGCAAACCGAUGAUGCUAGAGCGGCAGCAGCUGCUGCCAAUGGUGCUGCGGCACCUGCCACACCGGCCGUUGCUGUUGCUGUUGCUUCAGUGCCAGCUGCUGGCAACGAGUGCUUAAUUAAUGUGACGGACUUUAGUGAUUUUCAAGAGGCAACUGAAACUGAGCGGCAGAUCGAGCAGCCGGUCGCUGUAUUGCAAGUGCCAAGCAUAACGACCACAAACAUCAACAAC